GCCGCGCCGCCGCCCCCGUCUCGCUCUCCCCACCCAGUGCAGUGGCCGCCGCCUCUUCCGCCGCCGGGCUCGGGGCCUCCGCACCGACAACAUGGAGGCUGUGAAAACCUUCAAUAGCGAGGAUUGUGCCUCUACUCCUGCUUGUACAGACUGCUUUUCCAGCAGCAUGGACACAAGAAGCAUAUUGUAUUCCCUGAAUGACUACAAACCACCCAUUUCUAAAGCGAAAAUGACCCAAAUUACUAAGGCAGCCAUCAAAGCUAUUAAGUUCUAUAAACAUGUGGUACAGAGCGUUGAGAAAUUCAUUCAGAAAUGUAAACCAGAAUACAAGGUACCGGGACUUUAUGUUAUUGACUCCAUUGUACGACAAUCUCGACAUCAGUUUGGUCAAGAAAAGGAUGUGUUUGCACCCAGAUUUAGUAAUAACAUCAUUAGCACUUUCCAGAAUUUAUAUCGUUGCCCUGGGGAUGACAAGAGUAAAAUAGUGAGAGUAUUAAAUUUAUGGCAGAAGAAUAAUGUGUUUAAGAGUGAGAUUAUUCAGCCUCUUUUGGAUAUGGCAGCAGGGAUUCCUCCCCCAGUUGUCACACCUGUUUUGGCCAGUACUACUACUGCUAUGAGCAACACCCCAGGAACUCCUGUGACACCUGUUACUCCAGCCAAUGUGGUCCAGGGUCUGCCGGAUCCGUGGGUAUCUCAGAUAACAAACACAGAUACACUUGCAGCAGUAGCUCAAAUCUUACAAAGUCCUCAAGGCCAACAGCUUCAGCAGUUAAUACAAACUUUACAACUACAACAGCAGAAGCCUCAGCCUUCUAUCCUGCAGGCCCUGGACGCUGGUCUCGUUGUGCAGUUGCAGGCUCUCACAGCACAGCUCACAGCUGCAGCUGCCGCAGCCAACACCCUGAACCCCUUGGAACAGGGAGUGGCUUUCAACAAGAAGUUGAUGGAUAGGUUUGAUUUUGGGGAAGAUUCUGAGCAUAGUGAAGAACCCAAAAAGGAAAUUUCAGCUUCUCAACUUUCUCAUGUUUCAGAAUCUGUGAACAAUUCCAUUUUUCAUCAGAUAGCUGAACAGCUACAGCAGCAAAACCUUGAACAUCUCAGACAGCAACUCCUAGAACAGCAACAGCCUCAAAAGACAACCCCUCAGGAUAGUCAAGAGGGAACAUUUGGAUCAGAGCAUUCCGCCUCACCAUCACAAGGGAGCAGUCAACAGCAUUUCCUUGAACCUGAAGUGAAUUUGGAUGAUUCUAUAGAUAUUCAGCAACAGGAUAUGGAUAUAGAUGAAGGGCAGGAUGGAGUGGAAGAGGAGAUCUUUGAACAAGAAGCAAAGAAAGUGGCUGUUCGCUCAAGAUCAAGAACACAUUCACGAUCUCGUUCAAGAUCACCAAGAAAACGAAGGUCUCGGUCGCGAUCUGGUUCUCGAAAGCGUAAGCACAGAAAGCGAUCACGCUCACGCUCAAGAGAAAGAAAGAGGAAAUCAUCACGUUCAUACUCAAGUGAAAGGAGAGCGAGAGAAAGGGAGAAAGAACGACAGAAGAAGGGACUACCUCCAAUUAGAUCUAAAACAUUAAGUGUAUGUAGUACUACUUUGUGGGUUGGUCAGGUGGAUAAGAAGGCAACCCAGCAAGAUUUAACCAAUCUGUUUGAAGAGUUUGGACAAAUUGAAUCCAUUAAUAUGAUUCCUCCCAGGGGCUGUGCUUACGUCUGCAUGGUUCAUCGACAAGAUGCUUUCCGUGCUCUUCAGAAACUUAGUUCCGGAUCAUAUAAGAUUGGGUCCAAGGUCAUUAAGAUUGCUUGGGCUUUAAACAAAGGUGUAAAAACAGAAUAUAAACAAUUCUGGGAUGUGGAUCUUGGCGUUACAUAUAUACCGUGGGAAAAAGUUAAAGUGGAUGACUUGGAAGGUUUUGCAGAAGGAGGCAUGAUUGACCAGGAAACUGUAAAUACUGAGUGGGAAACUGUGAAAAGCUCAGAACCCGUUAAAGAGACGGUGCAGACAACUCAGAGCCCAACUCCAGUUGAAAAGGAGACAGUGGUCACAACCCAGGCAGAGGUUUUUCCUCCACCUGUUGCUAUGUUACAGAUUCCAGUAGCGCCAGCCGUGCCUGCAGUUAGUUUAGUCCCACCAGCAUUUCCUGUCUCAAUGCCGGUUCCUCCUCCUGGAUUCAGUCCAAUCCCUCCACCUCCUUUUCUGCGAGCAAGUUUUAACCCUUCACAACCACCUCCUGGUUUCAUGCCACCUCCAGUUCCACCACCUGUUGUACCACCACCCACCAUUCCACCAGUAGUACCAACAUCUUUAGUGCAGCCACCAUUAUCCAUGACUCCAGAAACUGUGAAAGAUGUUGGAUUUGGUGGUCUUGUCUUACCUGGUGGUUCUGUUGCCAGCAGUCUUGCUACUUCCACUCUGCCAGCUGGAAAUGUUUUUAAUCCUACAACUAAACAAGCAGAGCCUGAAGAAAAAGUACCUCAUCUUCUAGACCACCAGAUUCCUUCUGGUGAAAACACCAGAUCAGUGAUUCCAAAUGAUAUUCCAAGUAGCCCUGCAAUUUUAGGAGGACAGCCGCCAAAUGUGACAAGCAAUUCUGGAAUUCUGGGAGUCCAAAGACCAAAUGUAUCGAGUAAUUCUGACAUUAUUGGAAUCCGGCCAUCUAAUGUUUCCAGUAGUUCUGGGAUUAUUGGAGCCCAGCCACCAAAUAUUCUAAAUAACUCUGGAAUUUUGGGACUACAGCCACCAACUGUGUCAAGUAGUUCUGGACUUUUGGGAGUACUCCCCCCAAAUAUCCCUAAUAAUUCCGGACUUAUAGGAGUACAGCCACCAAAUGUUCCAAAUGCCGCUGGACUUUUGGGAACACAACCACCAGCUGGGCCUCAAAACUUACCCCCUUUAAAUCUCUCUAGUCAAAGGAUGCCCACAAUGCCAAUGUUAGACAUUCGUCCAGGACUAAUACCACAGACACCUGGACCAAGAUUCCCUUUAAUACAGCCUGGAAUUCCACCCCAAAGGGGAAUCCCUCCCCCAUCGGUACUUGAUUCAGCUCUUCAUCCACCACCCCGUGGUCCUUUUCCUCCAGGAGAUAUUUUUAGUCAGCCAGAAAGACCUUUUCUAGUUCCUGGAAGACAAAGUGUAGACAAUGUUACCAAUCCAGAAAAAAGGAUACCACUUGGGAAUGAUAACAUUCAGCAGGAAGGAGAUAGAGAUUACCGGUUUCCUCCCGUUGAAGCCAGGGAAAGCAUUAGUAGACCUCCCCCCGUGGAUGUUAGGGAUGUGGUUGGACGGCCUAUAGAUCCGAGAGAAGGUCCUGGAAGGCCUCCAUUAGAUGGUAGGGAUCAUUUUGGAAGACCUCCUGUCGAUAUUAGAGAGAAUCUUGUGAGGCCAGGCAUAGAUCAUCUUGGUCGAAGAGACCACUUUGGCUUUAAUCCAGAGAAGCCCUGGGGGCAUAGAGAUUUUGAUGAGAGAGAACAUCGGGUUCUACCUGUCUAUGGUGGUCCAAAAGGCUUACAUGAAGAAAGAGGUAGAUUUCGGUCUGGAAACUAUCGAUUUGAUCCUAGAAGUGGUCCUUGGAACAGAGGAUUUGGACAAGAAGUUCACAGAGAUUUUGAUGACCGCAGAAGACCCUGGGAGAGGCAAAGGGACAGGGAUGACAGAGAUUUUGAUUUCUGCAGAGAAAUUAAUGGAAACCGCCUUGGACGAGAUAGAAUUCAAAACACCUGGGUCCCCCCUCCUCAUCCUCGGGUUUUUGAUUUUUUUGAAGGGGCCACUUCUCAACGAAAAGGUGAUAACGUGCCUCAGGUUAAUGGUGAAAAUACCGAGAGACAUGCCCAACCACCACCUUUACCAGUACAGAAUGAUCCUGAACUUUAUGAAAAACUGACAUCUUCAAGUGAAAUAAACAAGGAGAAGAGUGACACAGUUGCUGAUAUAGAAAGUGAACCAGUGGUAGAAAGCACAGAAACUGAGGGGACAUAAUCAUCACUCAGUAGAUAAUUGAGUGGCCAGGCACUGUGUUGGGUGCUAGAGAAAUUAAAUGCCGUCAUCCAUGUAGAAGCUCCGAGCGUAAUAGUAACAGAAGGCAGGAAAGCAUGGAAACCAAAUAUGUACCCAGUGUGUUGCAUGUGACUCCAUGGGAUCCGGGUCUGGCGGCUAAGAGGAAGUCAUCUGAAAGGCUUCGUAAGGAAGGCAAGAUGAUGAAUGAAGUUCUGGCAGCUUCCUGUGUCCCAGGCCUUGUAGAAAUAAAUGAGACGUGCUUCAAAGUUCUAAUGUGCAUCACAUCGGAUCUUGGUUAAGGAAGCGUUAAAAGGAACCCGCCGUUACCUAUUGAGAAGGCUCUGUGCUCUCAGGCAUUAUUUCUGAUUGAAUCCAGAGGUUGCAAGCAUGCCUCCCUGUAUUACCUGUUGGAGCAGGUUUAAUUUUAUAAAUUUGAAACACAAACUCUAUGAGUUUCCAGUUCAUAAUUGUUCUUUUUGAGGAUGCAUUCAGAUGAACAGUAUCGCAUCUGUAAGAGAUAUGCACUUCCACAGGACCCGAACUGACUGGACUAUAAAUGGCAACACACUCCAUCUGUAGCAUCAUCCAGUACCAGUGGUGGAAAGGGCAGAUUGCGAGGAAACCCUUCGGAGGGGGAAGAAGUCAUAUUGUGUUGGAACUACAGAUUACUAGAACCAUAGCUUUAGUAAACCACGGCUUUUUUCUUGAACACAACAUGCUUGGACUGUAGUUCUUGACUGGUGACUUUAAUCCAUCAUGAGUCAUCUCCUGGGACCUCUCAAACAUUGAAAGUCUUGAGCUUUCGUUGAAAAAACAAUGCAGCUUUGAGAAAAUCCAGGGUUCAAGAUAGUCUUCUGGGCAUUUCAUUCCAGCCUUCAGUGUCCUGUUAUCAUGAACAGCAGGUACCCAGGUGGUAGAUGAGAAGCCUAGUGGGAGAGGAAGGAAAUGACAAUGAACAGGCAUAUUACAUUGUAUUGUACACAUACUUUAUAAGUACAUUUCUUAUUAGCUUCUUAUUCAGGCAGAGAUUAUAAAAAAUUUGCUGCAAGUAUCCAGACCAGGAUUUUGUGUUUUGGAAAUUAUCAGUGUUCACAAGACCUGCAGGGAAAAAGCAAACAAACAAACAAACAAACAAAAAACAAUGGCAAAAAUGCAAAUAAGAGCACUCUUGACACCUAAAAGAAUAUUUUUAUCAUUCUUUUCUUUGUUUUGGCUCUGUCACAAAUUAAAGUACUUGGAAUGCGGUAGUCUAUGGUCUCUUGAAAUCGAAUCAAUGAGAACCUGACACUUUCACAGAAUGCUGUCACUUUGGACAUUCAUAAUAAAAAUUGAAACUAUU